rnacentral:misc_RNA from 1 species
GAUGAAGAACGUAGUGAAAAGCGAUAAGUAGUGUGAAUUACAGAAUUCAGUGAAUCAUCGAAUCUUUAAACGCACAUUGCGCCUUCUAGUAUUCUGGGAGGCAUGCCUGUUUGAGCGUCAUUAAACCUCUCUCAAGUAUGAUUACUUGGAUGUGAAGGAAGAGUACCUUAAACUUAAGGAGUGUUCUCCUUUGAAAUUGAUUAGCAGAUGGUAAUGUUAUUAAAUCCCUGAUGUUGUAAGAAAUAACAGUGGUUUUGUAGACUAUUAUCUAGCUUUAAAUUAUAAUUUUUAUUAUGGUUGACCUCAAAUCAGGUAAGGAUACCCGCUGAACUUAAGCAUAUCAAUAAGCGGAGGA